ACACUCCUGCGGGAGGCAGCAGUGGGGAAUAUUGGACAAUGGGCGCAAGCCUGAUCCAGCCAUGCCGCGUGAGUGAUGAAGGCCCUAGGGUUGUAAAGCUCUUUCACCGGUGAAGAUAAUGACGGUAACCGGAGAAGAAGCCCCGGCUAACUUCGUGCCAGCAGCCGCGGUAAUACGAAGGGGGCUAGCGUUGUUCGGAUUUACUGGGCGUAAAGCGCACGUAGGCGGACUAUUAAGUCAGGGGUGAAAUCCCGGGGCUCAACCCCGGAACUGCCUUUGAUACUGGUAGUCUUGAGUUCGAGAGAGGUGAGUGGAAUUCCGAGUGUAGAGGUGAAAUUCGUAGAUAUUCGGAGGAACACCAGUGGCGAAGGCGGCUCACUGGCUCGAUACUGACGCUGAGAUGCGAAAGCGUGGGGAGCAAACAGGAUUAGAUACCCUUGUAGUCCCAUG
rnacentral:rRNA from 1 species